rnacentral:rRNA from 1 species
UACGGGGGGGGCAAGCGUUGUUCGGAAUUACUGGGCGUAAAGGGCUCGUAGGCGGCCAACUAAGUCAGACGUGAAAUCCCUCGGCUUAACCGGGGAACUGCAUCUGAUACUGGAUGGCUUGAGAUUGGGAGAGGGAUGCGGAAUUCCAGGUGUAGCGGUGAAAUGCGUAGAUAUGCGGAGGAACACCGAUGGCGAAGGCAAUCCCCUGGACCUGUACUGACGCUCAUGCACGAAAGCGUGGGGAGCAAACAGG